rnacentral:rRNA from 1 species
GGGGAAUAUUGGACAAUGGGCGAAAGCCUGAUCCAGCCAUGCCGCGUGUGUGAAGAAGGUCUUCGGAUUGUAAAGCACUUUAAGUUGGGAGGAAGGGCUGCAAGUUAAUACCUUGUAGUUUUGACGUUACCAACAGAAUAAGCACCGGCUAACUUCGUGCCAGCAGCCGCGGUAAUACGAAGGGUGCAAGCGUUAAUCGGAAUUACUGGGCGUAAAGCGCGCGUAGGUGGUUUGGUAAGAUGGAUGUGAAAUCCCCGGGCUCAACCUGGGAACGGCAAUCAGAACCGCCUGACUAGGGGAAGGUAAGGGGGGGGGGAAAUUCCUUGGUAGGGGUGAAAUGGGUAAGUAUAGGAAGGGAACACAGGGGGGAAGGGGACCCACGGGACUGGUUCCUGCACUGGGGUGGGAAAGGGUGGGGAGCAAAAC